rnacentral:rRNA from 1 species
CAGCCGUAAACUAUGCGCGUUAGGUGUACUGGUGACCACGAGUCACCGGGGUGCCGAAGGGAAACCGUGAAACGUGCCGCCUGGGAAGUACGGUCGCAAGGCUGAAACUUAAAGGAAUUGGCGGGGGGAGCACCACAACGGGUGGAGCCUGCGGUUUAAUUGGACUCAACGCCGGAAACCUCACCGGAUAGGACAGACAUAUGAUAGUCGGGCUGAAGACUCUACUUGAUGAUCUGAGAGGAGGUGCAUGGCGUCAGUGACU